GACGAACGCUGGCGGCGUGCCUAAUACAUGCAAGUAGAACGCUGAAGGAGGAGCUUGCUUCUCCGGAUGAGUUGCGAACGGGUGAGUAACGCGUAGGUAACCUGCCUGGUAGCGGGGGAUAACUAUUGGAAACGAUAGCUAAUACCGCAUAACAGUAGAUGUUGCAUGACAUUUGCUUAAAAGGUGCAAUUGCAUCACUACCAGAUGGACCUGCGUUGUAUUAGCUAGUUGGUGGGGUAACGGCUCACCAAGGCGACGAUACAUAGCCGACCUGAGAGGGUGAUCGGCCACACUGGGACUGAGACACGGCCCAGACUCCUACGGGAGGCAGCAGUAGGGAAUCUUCGGCAAUGGACGGAAGUCUGACCGAGCAACGCCGCGUGAGUGAAGAAGGUUUUCGGAUCGUAAAGCUCUGUUGUAAGAGAAGAACGAGAGUGAGAGUGGGAAGUUCACACUGUGACGGUAUCUUACCAGAAAGGGACGGCUAACUACGUGC
rnacentral:rRNA from 1 species